rnacentral:rRNA from 1 species
AGCGAACGCUGGCGGCAGGCUUAACACAUGCAAGUCGAGCGGGCCCUUCGGGGGUCAGCGGCGGACGGGUGAGUAACGCGUGGGAACGUGCCUUCUGGUCUGGAAUAACCCUGGGAAACUAGGGCUAAUACCGGAUACGCCCUUUUGGGGAAAGGUUUUACUGCCGGAAGAUCGGCCCGCGUCUGAUUAGCUAGUUGGUGGGGUAACGGCCUACCAAGGCGACGAUCAGUAGCUGGUCUGAGAGGAUGAUCAGCCACACUGGGACUGAGACACGGCCCAGACUCCUACGGGAGGCAGCAGUGGGGAAUAUUGGACAAUGGGCGCAAGCCUGAUCCAGCCAUGCCGCGUGAGUGAUGAAGGCCUUAGGGUUGUAAAGCUCUUUUAUCCGGGACGAUAAUGACGGUACCGGAGGAAUAAGCCCCGGCUAACUUCGUG